rnacentral:lncRNA from 1 species
UAGGGUUAACAACACUCAUCUUAGUGUUUUAGUUUUUUAAUUAAUCUUACUUAAUAUUAAAAAUCACAACCGCCAUAUGAGGUCAUCUUCCCGAUGACCGCCGCCAUGAGGUCAUCACCUUCAUGACCAGAACCGCUGCCACCCUUGUUCCCUAUUCUCCUCCUUCUUCUACCAGUUCCACCACCCUCAAACACCAUCAUCCUUCCUCCACUAUUUCUUCUCUUCCUCCACCACCACCACCGCCACCUGCCUCUUCCAUCCUCCACUACAACUAGCCACCUCCUCCUUAUCUGCACCACCAACGCACUCACUGCCCUCCCCUUCCUCCCUUUCUGCAAAUCUGUUCGUAAAUUUGGCUCAUUUUCAGAUCUGAGCCGAGCCGAUUAGCCGAGCCGAUUCAGUUUAGCCAGCCCAGCAAGCCUAGUAAGAAC